rnacentral:lncRNA from 1 species
UUUUUUUCCUUGGCUGUGCCUGUGGCAUGUGGAAGUUCCUGGGCAGGGUUUGAACCUGCCCAUCGGUGACCUGAGCCACAGCAGUGACAAUGCCGGAUCCUUAACCACCACCAGGGAACUCCCUUGACCAUGCAUUUUAUUUUAUUUUGUUGUAUUUUAUUUUUUGCCUAGUACUAUUUUAUUAUAAGAAUAUAUCAUAUUAUUUGACCAUGCAUUUUAAAACUACACUGCUCCACUUAAGGAGAAUCAUUGUUCUUUUUGUGAGUAAGCCUGGAGAGUUUUAAGCCAGAGAGUGCUGUGAAUGUACUUGCAAUUUGGAAAGAUUUGGUUGUGAUGAGGAGAGCUUGUGAGAACGAAUUCACAGAAGGUGGAGAAGACCGCUGGUUCAUUCCGAAACCGUAAACGAGCAUCUGCUGUGUGCCAGACAUCUUGUGGGCCCUGAGUGGACGAGACAUCCCCGCCCACCCGCGUGGAGUUAAGUUCUUCUUGCAAGGGGUGCCAUGAAGGUAGCAGGUCAGGAGGGCAGUGAGGAUGCAUUUGAAAGCUCUUCAGCUGUGACGGGAGACAGACUUAAAUGGCAGAUUUAAAGUGGGCACAAGGAGGUGACCGCUGCUAGGUUUCUGACUCAGGUGACUUGGUGGUUGGUGGUUCUUGCAUUGAAAAGGGAUGUAGCAGUUUUGAGAUGGAUUGAGACACCCGCACACAGUAAUUCAGGCAGCGUUUAUUGAGACUAAUCAUGACUCUUCUCCCAUCUCGCCUCUAAGUUGGGGCCACCUCGUCUGUCCUCCUGUUGAACCUGGUUCCUUGUCCAUGUUACAGCCCUUCUCUUGUCUUUAGGUGAGGGUUAGCUUUUCCACUGCCCAUUGAGGAUGGAGACUGCCCAUCUCCUUUUCGUACCCCUGCUUGGAGAAUGUAGAUGCUGCUUAUUGCCUCCACGGCUGCUGUCCUCCUGUAAGCCAUCGUCCUCUGUCUCUUGGAUCACUGAGGUUGCCUGCUGGUGGUCUUCUGCUGCCGUAUAUUCAAACAUAAGUUGAUAGUUUCUCUGCCCAGAGCCUCACAGUGGCCCACAUCCCACUUAGCGUGAAAGUGAAAGACUUCACAGUGGCUUAUAAGACCUGGUUAGGCUGGUUCUUGUAUUCCUUCUAUGCCUCUUAUCCAGCCUUUGCUUCUUUCAAAUCUUUGCUUAAAUGUUACCUCCUUCCUUCCUUCUUUCUUUCUUUCUUUCUUUCUUGUCUUUUUGCUAUUUCUCAGGCCGCUCCUGUGGCAUAUGGAGGUUCCCAGGCUAGGGGUCGAACCGGAGCCGUAGCUGCCAGCCUACGCCAGAGCCACAGCAACGCGGGAUCCGAGCCGCGUCUGCAACCUACAUCACAGCUCACGGCAAUGCCGGAUUGUUAACCCCCUGAGCAAGGGCAGGGAUCGAACCCGCAACCUCAUGGUUCCUAGUCGGAUUCGUUAACCACUGCGCCACGACGGGAACUCCUAAAUGUUACCUUCUUAGUGAGGCCUGUCUUCAGUUACCUGGCUAUGUAUCUGGAAGUCGAUUAUCUCUAAAAUACAGACAGUCUAGCCACAUACUGUUGUAUUCCAACGAUAUGAUAUUUAGGAGAAAGCAAAACUGUGCAGACAGUAAAAACGUUCACUGGUUGCCCGGAGUUAGAGUAGGAGGGGAAUGACCGACAGAGAUGUUUAGGGCAGGGAAAAUACCCCGUAUGGUGCCGGAGUAACGGGUACAUGUCGUCGUACCUUUGUCCAUGCUCAGAACGCACGGCACCAAAGUGAAUCCUGGUGUACUGUGAACUGUGCGGAUUGCGACGUGUCAGAAUAGGGUCCUCAGUUGUAACAAAUGUCCCACCCCGGUGAGGGGCGUUGAUAAUGGGCGAAGCUGUUCGUGGGUGGGAACAGAGUGUGUGGGAAGUCUCUGUAGCUUCCUCUCAGUUUUGCUGUAAACCCAAAACUGCUCUUAAAAGUUGUCUUUAAAAUAUAAACAACAACAAAAUGAACCACAUAUAUCAUAAUUAAAAUUGAUAACUGUUCCUUAGUAUAAUUAAAUCUCUAGCCGGCAGCUGCAAGCUCUGAUUCGACUCCUAGCCUGGGAACUUAUAUAUGCCACAAGGUGCGGACCUAAAAGCAAAAAAAUAAAAAAAGCUUUAUUGUGGUAUAAUUGACAUUCAGUAAACUGUUAUAUUUAAAGUGUACGGUUUGAUUAGUGUCGACACAUGUAUCCACCAGUGAGAUUAUCGCCACAGUCGGGAUACUGGAUAUAUCAUUAUCUCCCAUUUCCUCUGGCCUCUUCGUGAUUUCUCUCACCUGCCCCUCCUCCCCCAAGCAACCACUCAUCUGCUUUCUGUCGCUGGAGAUUAGUUUGUAUUUUCUAAAGUUUUCUGUAAAUGGGAUCUCAAAUUAUGUACUAUUUCUUAAACAUUUAUUUAUUUUAUGGCUGCACCCAUGGCAUGUGGAAGUUUCCAGGCUGGGGAUUGAAUCUGAGCCGCGGCUGGGAUCUACAUCACAGCUUAGCAGUUGGGGAUGCUUAACCCACUGUGCUUGGCCCAGGAUUGAACCUGAGCCCCUCCAGCCACUCAGGCUGCUGCAUUUGGAUUUUUAAUUCCCUGCGCUACAGCGGGAGCUCCAGUUAUGUACUGUUUUGUCUGGCUUCUUUCAACACAGUUAUCUUGAGACUCAUCCACAGUUGCAUGUAUCAGUUGAUUCGUCUUUUUUAUUGCUGACUGGUAGUACCUUGUGUGGCUACACCACAGCUUUUUUAUUCAUUCACCUCUUGGUGGACAUUUGAGUUAUUUCCAUUGUUCGGCUUUGACAAAUAAAGCUGCCAUGAAUAUUUGUGCACAAGUGUGUACACAGUAAAAGAUUUCUUUUUCUUGUGGGUAAAUGCUCAGGAAUGAAUCAUAUAACAGUUGUACACUUAAGUUUUUAAGGAAACAGCAAACUUUUCCAAAGUGGUUUUACAGUUUCACAUUCUCACCAGCAGUGUAUAGAGUUCCAGUGGCUCUCUAACCUAACAUGUGAUACGGUUAGACAUUCUGCUAGCUGUGUAGUGGCAUUAGCUUUUGUUUGCCUAUGGACACAUAUCUCGAACACUUUAAAAAGUACGCUUAUUUGCCAUCCGCUUAGUUUCUUUGGUGAAAUGACAGUUCACUUACGCAUCUGGCUGCAUGGCCUGAAAACACUAUCAAAGCAGGGGAUGGGGACCGCUGUGGGGCUUAUCUCUUUUGUUCCCAUCUUUUAGGAUCACUGAUGUCUGCUGUCCCAAAGACCAGUGUUCUGUGUAUUUUGUUUGUAUUUUCAAGGAGGAGAGGAAAUUUGGUCUCUGUGACGUCCAUCUUGGCCAAAGCACAAAUGAAUUUUAUUUUAUUUUUAUUUUUUGUAUUUUUGUCUUUUCAGGGCUGCACUCAAGGCAUAUGGAGGUUCCCAGGCUAGGGGUCUAAUUGGAACUGUAGCCGCUGGCCUACACCACAGCCAUGCCAGAUCCAAGCCGCGUCUGCGACCUACACCGUAGCUCACGGCAGUGCCGGAUCCUUAACCCACUGAGUGUGUGUGUGAACAUAGAUUUCUUUUUCUUGUGGGUAAAUGCUCAGGAGUGAAUCAUAUAGUAGUUGUACACUUAAGUACACUGAGUGAGGUCAGGGAUCGAACCUGCAACCUCAUGGUUCCUAGUCAGAUUCAUUUCCACUGUGCCACGAUGGGAACCCCUAUUUAUUUAUUCAUUUAUUUAUUUUUGCUUUUCAGGGCCACACCUGUGGCACAUGGAAGUUUCCAGGCUAGGGGUCUAAGCAGAACUGUAGCUGGCGGGCUACGCUGCAGCUACAGCAACACCAGAUCUGAUCCACAUCUGUAACCUACACCACAUACAGCUCCAACCUAACACUGCAUCCUUAACCCACUGAGUGAGGCCAAGGAUUGAAUCUGUGUCCUCAUGGAUACUAGUUGGGUUUGUAAUCCUCUGAGCCACAGCAGAACUCCCUGUGCUGUGGCUCAGUGGCUAAUUUGCUCCUUUGUUCUUUAUAUUUUCUGUAAACUGGUAGUUAAAUUUAGAGGAUUGAUCGUUUUCAAAUUAAAAUUAUUUUUGCAAGAAUAAUUCAUAGGAGAUAUUUUGCCCAUCCUGUUUAAAAUGAAAACCCUUGCUGCACUCCAGUUCCCUAACCUGUUAUAGUGCUUUUAUUUUCACAGGACCCGGCAGCAUAGUACAAGUGUUCAUGUUUAAUAUCUGAUCUAAAAUUUAAACUCCAUAAAGGCACAGUUCUUUGUUUUCUAUAUUGCUCUAUCUCCAGAAGUCUAGAUCAUUGUUCAGCACGUGGUUGGCACAAAGUAAAAAUCUUUUGAAUUAAUGAGUGAGUGAGAUACAAAGGUGCAGAAUUGGUAAGCUGUCAUUACCCUCAUUACCAUUCGUGGAAAAGUAACAUUUUCUUUUGUUAGAAUAAUUGUGCUUAAUAACAUUAUUAAAGACAUUGUAGGAGUUCCCAUCGUGGUGCAGCAGAGAGUCCGACAAGGAACCAUGAGGUUGUGGGUUCGAUCCCAGGGCUCGGAUCUGGCAUUGCUGUGGCUGAUGUGUAGGCCAGCAUCUGUAGCUCCGAUUCAAUCCUUAGCCUGGGAACCUCUCCACAUGCCUCUAGUGCGGCCCUUUUUAAAAAGCGGAAAAAAAAAAAAAGAAAAAAAA